rnacentral:rRNA from 1 species
GACGAACCGAGCGAACGUUGUUCGGAAUCACUGGGCUUAAAGGGCGCGUAGGCGGGUGCUCAAGCCCGUGGUGAAAUCCUCCGGCUCAACCGGAGAACUGCCUCGGAUACUGGGCGUCUCGAGUGUGGUAGGGGUAUGCGGAACUAUCGGUGGAGCGGUGAAAUGCGUUGAUAUCGAUAGGAACUCCGGUGGCGAAGGCGGCAUACUGGACCACCACUGACGCUGAUGCGCGAAAGCCAGGGGAGCAAACGGG